AUGGCGACCACCGCGAUGGCGCUCUCCCCCUCGUCCUUCGCCGGGAAGGCGGUGAAGGACCUGCCGUCGUCGGCGCUCUUCGGGGAGGCGCGCGUCACCAUGCGCAAGACCGCGGCCAAGGCCAAGCCGGUGUCGUCCGGCAGCCCGUGGUACGGCUCCGACCGCGUGCUCUACCUCGGCCCGCUCUCCGGCGACCCCCCGAGCUACCUCACCGGUGAGUUCCCCGGCGACUACGGGUGGGACACCGCGGGGCUGUCGGCCGACCCCGAGACCUUCGCCAAGAACCGGGAGCUGGAGGUGAUCCACUGCCGGUGGGCCAUGUUGGGCGCUCUCGGCUGCGUCUUCCCCGAGCUGCUCGCCCGCAACGGCGUCAAGUUCGGCGAGGCCGUGUGGUUCAAGGCCGGCUCCCAGAUCUUCAGCGAGGGCGGCCUCGACUACCUCGGCAACCCCAGCCUCGUCCACGCGCAGAGCAUCCUUGCCAUCUGGGCCUGCCAGGUCGUGCUCAUGGGCGCCGUCGAGGGCUACCGCGUCGCCGGCGGCCCGCUCGGCGAGAUCGUCGACCCGCUCUACCCCGGCGGCAGCUUCGACCCCCUGGGCCUCGCCGACGACCCCGAGGCGUUCGCGGAGCUCAAGGUGAAGGAGAUCAAGAACGGCCGCCUCGCCAUGUUCUCCAUGUUCGGCUUCUUCGUGCAGGCCAUCGUCACCGGCAAGGGCCCCCUCGAGAACCUCGCCGACCACCUCGCCGACCCCGUCAACAACAACGCCUGGGCCUUCGCCACCAACUUUGUGCCCGGCAAGUAA
rnacentral:rRNA from 1 species